ACCCGGGUGAUCAAGUCCGA
rnacentral:snRNA from 1 species